CGUGCCUAAUACAUGCAAGUCGAACGAGGUCCAAGGGAGCUUGCUCCCUGACGACCUAGUGGCGAACGGGUGAGUAACACGUGAGAAACCUGCCCUGGAGUGGGGAAUAACUCGGGGAAACUCGAGCUAAUACCGCAUACCUUCACAUGAUCGCAUGGUCGAGUGAAGAAAGAUUCAUCGCUCUAGGAGGGUCUCGCGGCCUAUCAGCUUGUUGGUGGGGUAACGGCCUACCAAGGCAACGACGGGUAGCUGGUUUGAGAGAACGAUCAGCCACACUGGGACUGAGACACGGCCCAGACUCCUACGGGAGGCAGCAGUAGGGAAUAUUGGACAAUGGGCGCAAGCCUGAUCCAGCCAUGCCGCGUGAGUGAUGAAGGCCUUAGGGUUGUAAAGCUCUUUCGUCAGGGAAGAUAAUGACGGUACCUGAAGAAGAAGCUCCGGCUAACUCCGUGCCAGCCGCCGCCGUAA
rnacentral:rRNA from 1 species